UGCAGUUAAAACUUACAAUGCUGAAAAGGGGAGGGUUAACAAAGUGCCUAAGUUAAAAUUACUUCCGGGCGCACCUAAGCAGCCGGGUGGAGUUGAGUGUGGCUAUUAUGUUAUGCGGUACAUGAAGGAUAUUAUUAAUGAUGACACGCUUUCGUUUUCAACCAAGUGGGCGGUAAAGGAUCGGAAAGGGUAUACCCAACAACAACUUGAUGAGGUCCGCAUUGAAGUAGCCAACUACUUACAGACUCUGCUGUAGGUUCUGACCAGUUUCUUGAUUUUGAGUUAGACUAGCUUUUAAUUAACUUUUUUUGUAGCAAUUAUGAACAAACAAGAAUACUAAUUGCUAGGCUAGCCUUGUAGUAUAUAGGUGCAUGAAUUGGGGUUUUAUUUUGCCCAUUUUGUAAAUUGUUAAGGAUGAUGACUGUCGGAUAUAAUACC